rnacentral:rRNA from 1 species
UACGAAGGAUCCAAGCGUUAUCCGGAUUUAUUGGGUUUAAAGGGUGCGUAGGCGGACUAUUAAGUCAGUGGUGAAAGCCUGCAGCUUAACUGCAGAACUGCCAUUGAUACUGAUGGUCUUGAGUACAUUUGAGGUGGGCGGAAUGUGUCAUGUAGCGGUGAAAUGCUUAGAUAUGACACAGAACACCGAUUGCGAAGGCAGCUCGCUAAACUGUAACUGACGCUGAGGCACGAAAGCGUGGGUAGCAAACAGG